rnacentral:rRNA from 1 species
UACGGAGGGUGCAAGCGUUGUCCGGAUUCAUUGGGUUUAAAGGGUGCGCAGGCGGGACAUUAAGUCAGGGGUGAAAGACGGUUGCUCAACAAUCGCAGUGCCUUUGAUACUGGUGAUCUUGGGUGACCUUGAGGUAGGCGGAAUGGGUGGUGUAGCGGUGAAAUGCAUAGAUACCACCCAGAACUCCGAUUGCGAAGGCAGCCUACUGGAGGUUAACCGACGCUCAGGCACGAAAGCGUGGGGAUCAAACAGG